rnacentral:rRNA from 1 species
GACGAACGCUGGCGGCGUGCUUAACACAUGCAAGUCGAACGGAAAGGCCCUGCUUUUGUGGGGUGCUCGAGUGGCGAACGGGUGAGUAACACGUGCGUAACCUGCCCUUGACUUUGGGAUAACUUCAGGAAACUGGGGCUAAUACCGGAUAGGAGCUCCUGCUGCAUGGUGGGGGUUGGAAAGUUUCGGCGGUUGGGGAUGGACUCGCGGCUUAUCAGCUUGUUGGUGGGGUAGUGGCUUACCAAGGCUUUGACGGGUAGCCGGCCUGAGAGGGUGACCGGCCACAUUGGGACUGAGAUACGGCCCAGACUCAUACGGGAGGCAGCAGUGGGGAAUAUUGCACAAUGGGCGGAAGCCUGAUGCAGCAACGCCGCGUGCGGGAUGACGGCCUUCGGGUUGUAGACCGCUUUCGCCUGUGACGAAGCGUGAGUGACGGUAAUGGGUAAAGAAGCACAGGCUAACUACGUG